AGUUAGCUGACGAGUCCCAAAUCGGACGAAAUGCAUAUCAAGCUGGAU
rnacentral:hammerhead_ribozyme from 1 species